GAUGAAGAACGUAGCAAAAUGCGAUACUUGGUGUGAAUUGCAGAAUCCCGUGAACCAUCGAGUCUUUGAACGCAAGUUGCGCCCGAAGCCAUUAGGCCGAGGGCACGCCUGCCUGGGCGUCACACGUCGUUGCCCCCCCAUCUACUCCUUCGGGAUUGCGGGGGGCGGAUGAUGGCCUCCCGUGCGCCUCGUCGCGCGGUUGGCAUAAAUGCCAAGUCCUCGGCGACACACGCCACGACAAUCGGUGGUUGCGAAACCUCGGUUGCCCGUCGUGUGCGGUCGUCGCGCAUCGAGGGCUCGAAAAAAUUGCCGGGCUCCGGCUCGGCUUUCAACGCGACCCCAGGUCAGGCGGGGUUACCCGCUGAAUUUAAGCAUAUCAAUAAGCGGAGGA
rnacentral:misc_RNA from 1 species